rnacentral:rRNA from 1 species
UACGUAGGUGGCAAGCGUUGUCCGGAAUUACUGGGUGUAAAGGGCGUGUAGGCGGGUGACCAAGUCAGAUGUGAAAUUCCGGGGCUUAACUCCGGCGCUGCAUCUGAAACUGGACAUCUUGAGUGCUGGAGAGGAAAGCGGAAUUCCUAGUGUAGCGGUGAAAUGCGUAGAUAUUAGGAGGAACACCAGUGGCGAAGGCGGCUUUCUGGACAGUAACUGACGCUGAGGCGCGAAAGCGUGGGGAGCAAAC